UGUUAAUACAGCUGAUAUAGCACCUGGCCCAGGAAAGAUACAGCAGGGCCACAUGGGGCUUGGAUAGAAGCUUUUCUGAGGCCAGGAGGUAGGGCUAGAGCUGGAUUCUAAAUCAUAGGACUGUGAUUCGAGGAACCGCAGGGAGAGCAAAAGAAGACAGGACAGUAUCCUGUGUUUGUGGCCACAAGCAGAAGCCAGGUGAAGAUGUGGGGAAGACCCAAGAGGAGAACCUAGGCCUACCUAGUUACCAGGGACAAGGGACAAAUGAGCCACUCCAGCGCUUCGUGGAGAGAGGAAGCUGCCCACUGCCGACCACAUACAGCAGGCAGCUUUUCUCUUAUAGCUCUCGUGUUGCGUUUCUUAAUUUAAAAUGGGAAAUUCCGUAUUUGGAACCUCAUCAAUCAUUUUUGUGAGCUGGGCUCUGCGGAAAGCAUGGGGAAACAUUUAGAUUUGUGGCUUGAACUGUUGAAAAUGGGAAACAAUUUAAAUAAUAUUAACAUUUUAACAGCCUCCACUCAGG
rnacentral:lncRNA from 1 species